UCAAGGACAAUUCAAGGACAUUUCAAGGCUCUUCUUGCCUCCCAACUUGAAUUCAUCUGACAGAAGCAAGAAGUGGCCAUGAAAUGUGCCUGCAAAUGUAAUGAGAACAAAAGCAAUCCUGACAUUUAUGAACAAGAAGUUGUUAUCCAUAAAAAAGUGUCAUCUCUUCAUGAUCAUGUACUUCUUUUUUCUAACCUGUCUACCACUGACUAUGCUGAAUGAAAUGGGCAGGAGGAUGUGUCAGUGGUAGCCCCUCUGUUCUGUCUACCUGGAACAAUCACUGACAGACAGAAGGUGGCCCACUGGGUACUGUGUCUUGUCAUGAGACAUACAGUCCAGGUUUGAAUCCCGACACAAGCUUCCUGUUCUGGGACAACUGAACUAUUUCUCUCCAAAUGCACUACUACUGACUUCCAGAAGGUGGCCCACUGGUUACUGUGUCUUAUGAGACACAGUUCAGGUUUGAAUCCUGACAUUUGUUAAUCACUGGUUGUGUCCCUCCCACUCACAUCUACAAAGCUGCUACAACUACUCGCGUCAUGCUAUGAGAGCCCUGGACUACAUCCCUGCUGAAAACACAGGCCAACUCCCAAGGUUACACUACAUCAUACAAAUAUACACUUUAGCACAACACUCUCUGAA